AGUGAACGCUGGCGGUAGGCCUAACACAUGCAAGUCGAACGGCAGCACAGCAAGAGCUUGCUCUUACGGGUGGCGAGUGGCGGACGGGUGAGGAAUACAUCGGAAUCUACUUUUUCGUGGGGGAUAACGUAGGGAAACUUACGCUAAUACCGCAUACGACCUACGGGUGAAAGCAGGGGAUCUUCGGACCUUGCGCGAUUGAAUGAGCCGAUGUCGGAUUAGCUAGUUGGCGGGGUAAAGGCCCACCAAGGCGACGAUCCGUAGCUGGUCUGAGAGGAGGAUCAGCCACACUGGAACGGAGACACGGACCAGACGCCUACGGGAGGCAGCAGUGGGGAAUAGUGGACAGUGGGCGCAAGCCUGAUCCAGCCAUACCGCGUGUGUGAAGAAGGCCUUCGGGUUGUAAAGCCCUUUUGUGGGGAAAGAAAAGCAGCAGGCUAAUACCCCGCUGUUCUGACGGUACCCAAAGAAUAAGCACCGGCUAACUUCGUG
rnacentral:rRNA from 1 species